rnacentral:rRNA from 1 species
UGGGGAAUUUUGGACAAUGGGGGAAACCCUGAUCCAGCCAUCCCGCGUGUGCGAUGAAGGCCUUCGGGUUGUAAAGCACUUUUGGCAGGAAAGAAACGUCAUGGGUUAAUACCCCGUGAAACUGACGGUACCUGCAGAAUAAGCACCGGCUAACUACGUGCCAGCAGCCGCGGUAAUACGUAGGGUGCAAGCGUUAAUCGGAAUUACUGGGCGUAAAGCGUGCGCAGGCGGUUCGGAAAGAAAGAUGUGAAAUCCCAGAGCUCAACUUUGGAACUGCAUUUUUAACUAACGGGCUAGAGUGUGUCAGAGGGAGGUAGAAUUCCGCGUGUAGCAGUGAAAUGCGUAGAUAUGCGGAGGAACAACGAUGGCGAAGGCAGCCUACUGGGAUAACACUGACGCUCAUGCAAGAAAGAGUGGGGAGCAAACAGG